GACGAACGCUGGCGGCGUGCUUAACACAUGCAAGUCGAACGGAAAGGCCCUGCUUUUGUGGGGUGCUCGAGUGGCGAACGGGUGAGUAACACGUGAGUAACAUGCCCUUGACUUUGGGAUAACUUCAGGAAACUGGGGCUAAUACCGGAUAGGAGCUCCUGCUGCAUGGUGGGGGUUGGAAAGUUUCGGCGGUUGGGGAUGGACUCGCGGCUUAUCAGCUGGUUGGUGGGGUAGUGGCUUACCAAGGCUUUGACGGGUAGCCGGCCUGAGAGGGUGACCGGCCACCUUGGGACUGAGGUACGGCCCAGACUCCUACGGGAGGCAGCAGUGGGGAAUAUUGCACAAUGGGCGGAAGCCUGAUGCAGCAACGCCGCGUGCGGGAUGACGGCCUUCGGGUUGUAAACCGCUUUCGCCUGUGACGAAGCGUGAGUGACGGUAAUGGGUAAAGAAGCACCGGCUAACUACGUG
rnacentral:rRNA from 1 species